CAGGACUCGAACCCUGGUUCCUGCAGGGGGGGCAACCUCAGGCAGAAGCUGCCCCAGCCUGUGGGACCCUUCCAGGCCCGCCUCUCAUCUCCUAGGAGGCUGCCGCACCAGCCCGUCUGCCAGCACCUCCUCCAUCGGGGCGCUGGCCUCCCCAGAGAGCCAGCUUCUGGCCACCCACUGAGUACCCUCAUCUCCCGGGCAGCAAGCUCAGGCAGGUCCCCCACUGGGCCCGGCCACGUAACAGGAGCUGGAACCCUCGCCCCCACAGCAGAGCACGGCCCGAGGGUUCAGGAGCCCGGCCAGAGUCUAGGACCCUAGGGGAGAGGAACAAAGCACAGAUUCAGGCCUGGGGACCCUGGCCAGCGUCCCAGCUCUGCUCCUCACCAGCUGUCAGGCCCUGGUUGAGGGUUAUUCCUUUGCUGAGCUACAGCAUCCACAUUUGUGAAGCAGGAGCAGGAAUGCUUUCGUCCAGAGGGUCAAUGAGCUAAGUGAGGUCCAGAAGCUACUUCCUAUUUUUCUCUCGAGGGAUGGCAAUAGCUUGUGCAAACGCCUGGGGGUGUGCAUGUGUGUCAGAUGCGAGCUGGGUGUGCCUCACUACGACGUCUCCCCUGGUCGUGCUAGGAUCGUGCUCCGGUCCCCUGAUCACGGCUGAUUCGCUAGUGUUGACAGACACCUGACUGCAGGCUGACAAGUCUCUCCUGGGGAUGUGAAACUUGAAUGGAGGGCACGCAGGCAGGGGGCGGUGGGAAAUGCGCCACCCCUGGCCAGCGCCCUAGAGAGGACAGCCACGGGCUCUGCCACUGAACCCCCUGGACAUUCCCGAGGAGUCUUCAUGUCUGGGGCGUGCUCUUCUGCCAUCCUGGGAACAGCUCUCCAUAAAUCCACCACUGGGCAACUUGCCUCUCUUGCAGCUACUGGUGGCCAAUGAAUGGAAGUUGUUAGGUGAAGAUUCUGGGAAAUAUCUUUAGAAGACACUGAUGCAGCUGGGAGGAAAGCCAAUUUGCCCUUCCUUCUCCUUCUUCCUACAUGGGACUCAGGCAUUAUGGCUGGAGCCCCAGCAGCCAUCUUGGAUCAAGAAGUGACCUUGACGAUGAAGCCGUAUAGUAAGGAUGAAGCAACACAAAGCUAGAAGGAACCUAUGACGUUGAUGACACCGUGAACCAGCCCUGACCUGGACUGAUCUUUCCAGACUUCUUUUUUCAAAUGAACUUUUUAUUUCAGAACAGUUUUGGAUUUACAGAAUUGUUGCAAAUAUAGUAUGGAGUUCCUAUAUACCCUAUACCCAGUUUCCCCUAUUAUUAAUAUUUUACAUUAGUAUGGUACAUUUAUCACAAUUAAUGAACCGAUAUUGUUACAUUAUUAUUAACUAAAAAGUUCACCCUUCAUUUGGAUUGCCUCUGUUUUCCUGAAUGUCCCUUUUCUGUUCUAGCAUUCCAUCCAGGGUCCUGCCUGACAUUUAGAAGUCAUGUCUCCUUAGGCUCCUCUUGGCUGUGACCGUUUCUCAGACUUUCUUUGCUUUUGAUGACCUUGAUGGUUUUGAGGAGUACUAGUUAGGGAUUUUGUAAAAUGACCCUCAAUUGGGAUUUGUCUAGUGAUUUUCUUAUGGUUAGAGCAGGUAAUGUGUUUCGGGGGGAAGACCACAGAGGUAAAGCGGCAUUGUCCCCCUAUUCCAUCCAGAGCAGACACUGUCAACGUGACUUAUCAGCGUGGAUGUGAGCUCUGGUCACCGGCAGGCUCUCCACUGUAAGAUUUCUUUCCCCCUUUUCCAUGCUGUGCUCCUUGGAACCGGUCACUGUGCCCAGCCCACACUUAAUGAGUGGGGAGUUAUCUUCCCCUCCCUAAGGGUGGAGUAGCUGCAUAAAUUAUUUCGAAUUCUUCUGCAUGGGCAGCUUGUCUCUUCUAUUUAUUUGUUUACUUAUUUACAUCAGUAUAGACUCAUGGAUAUUUAUUUUAUUCUUUGGGUUAUAAUUGUUACGACUUUUUUUUUUUUUGCUGAAAUUGUUCCACCUUUGGCCUCUUUCAGUUAGCUCCCCAGACUUCUUGACGUGACAGAAAAACAAACCGGGGUAGACAUUUUGCAACAAGUCUCCAAUUCCUCCCGUUUGUGUAUGCUCACGCCUUUACAAUGUGACUUUGCAGCUUCCCUCAUCAGGACCUGAAUUGCUCUCUGUCCCUGGAAUCUGGGCUGGGCCAUGAGACUUGCUUUGGCCAAUACGAAAAGGCCAAAGCAUGAAAAGAGCUUGUGUGUGGGGCUUGCUGCACCAGGGACCCUGAGACCACCAUGCGAGCAAGCCCGGGCGAACCUGCUGGAGGAUGAGAGGCCAUGUGGCCCGGUUGCCUCCACCGCCCUUGCCUACAGCCAGACCACAGCCAUGUGAGGGAGGCCUUUGACCGUAGUUGACUGCAGAUGUACGAUGAACCCAGAGACCAGCCGUCCCCACUGGGCCCAGUCCGAGCUGCCAGCCUACCGAGUCAUGCGCAAACCAACGGUUAGUUUAAGCCACUAGGUGUGAGAUAGUUCAUUAUGCAGCAAAAGCUAACCGCUACACAGCUCUUUUCUGUCAUUAGUCUGUGUUAUCUGAGUUUUCUGGAACAGGAAGUCAAACCUAGUCCUAAACAGACACAGAAUUUAUUCAACAGGGAAAUUGUGAGAAUUUAGUGAGUGAGACAGUACAUAGCAGCCCCUGACAGAUUACUUAUAAUAGUAAUAAUAAUGCUUAUUAUUCCUAGUUUUGUAGUGCGUUAGUAUUUAAUUUGUAGUCUUGUUUCAGUUUUUUGCUGUUUGAGAUCUAUCAGCUGGAGCGGAGACCUCAUUUAUGAUUGUGCACAAAUAAGUAACCUUCUGGCCAUGCCCUCCAGCCUCGGACCACCAGGAUCACCCCUGUAGGUAAACAAGUGGGGUUCGUGACUCAUUGUGGCAAGAGAGGAUACGUGCCGUGGGGAACCCAAGGUGUCCCUGGAAGGGGGGUGAGAGACGGCUUGUAUGGGAUCCGGGCUUGUGUCCGGAGGUUCGGAGGAGAGUUUAAGGAAGUGGGGUUCUUCUCCGGGUUGGAUGCUGUCAAGAAGUGGGAGAAACUAGAUGGUUGGGAUCCUGGUAAAUCUUCUCUACAGAGAAGGCAGACGGGAGCCAGGAUAACGCUGUCAGGGGAGAAGAGGCAGCCGUCACAGGAUAGCCAGCACGGGGGAUGUUUGGUCAUUUUUGUGCCUUGGAAAUGUUUACGUUUCGAGUUCAGACGUGAUCACAGAGUGAUCUUGCUUUUGUCUUGGUUCAUCAGUCACAGAGCGUCUUGUCCGAGGCUGAUGUUCUGCGGCAUUGUGUUCCACAGGACUUGGCUGUCACCCGAGAGGCUCAGGUGGUUCGGAGCACCACCCAGGCCAAGUGGUCCCGGCCAGCUCCUGGGGGCAGGCUGCCUCCUCUUCCUCCAUCUAGCAGACACUGGUGGGUCCCAGAGGAUGCCUUCUCCCGCCAGAGGGCCGGCCAGAACUCAGGUUAGAGCACAAGCUCAUUGCUGCUCAAUUCGGGAGGGCAUCUCAGCUUCUUUUCUUCUCCCACAAGUUUUCCUUUGUCAUUUACAUAUUAUAUCAACAAUAUCCUAAUCAUAUAGUGAUAGUAUUAAUUACACAUGAGUGGAUUAUAUUAAGAAUACAUUAUAUUCAUAGUCAAGUCCUUACUACGUACCAUGUACUGUGCUGAGCAUUUUAGAUGUAUUAAUUCGAGGAUUCUUAACCUGGGGUCUUACUGGGUCCAUGGGUGGAAUUUAUCUUCACUCACCUCUAAUUAAAUUCAGCACUUCUUUCAAUCGCAAAUGUAGGAAUCAUUAGUGCCUGGAACUUUCUCGCCAUAGAAAUCAUAGUACUUUCACAUUCGACCACAGUGGUAUUGAGAUCUCAGAAUAUUGCUGACACUCGUCUUGACUUAGCAAUUGCAGUACUCAUUGAGAUCCACCGCUAGGUCUCAUGUGUUAGCAAAGAAGCAGACAUAAGACUAUAUCACAACUGUGUUCUUUAAAAUAUCUUGACGGAUCAUUUGUGGCCAUCACGUGCUAAUCCUCACACCUGUGCCUCCUGCAUCAGUUAUGACAGCUCUGCGAUGUUACAAGGAGCCAGGGCAGCAUGGAAAAAAAGUGGCAGGAAGUCACUUCAUCCCAUUUCUUCAUUUAAAGGACAGAGACAACUACUUGCGAGUUGUGAGGAUUAAAUGAGAUAUUAUAUUUCCUCCAUUCUAAAUGGUAGUCUUUACAUCUGGUUGAUGCUCUGUCUGAGGAAAUUUGGGCAGAAAGAGAAAAUAAUAACUUAUACCUUAUCUAGUGUCUCAUUUGGGAGCUGGUUUUUAGAUGGCUUUACUGGAGUGACGCUGACACGCAGUAACCUGCACGUUGUUACCGUGAACUAUGUGGAAGUUGUCACCCGUGGACACAGCUGUGCAGCCAUCAGCACAGUCAAGAGGAUGAGCGUGUCCAUUGCUGCGCGUAUGAUUUAGAGGAAGGCGUCGUCUCAGAGCAGGAGCUCUGGGACCUCUUGUUCCUGAUUUUCAGAAAAGACGAGAAUAGUCGUCCAGUCCGUGUCACUACCUCAUGGCUCAGUUUCUAAGCCCAGGAAAGACGACACCAGACACCUGGGCGUCCAUCCUCUGCUGCCUUCUGAAACCCCUCACAGCUGAGCUCUUACACCAUUUGGGCUUCUUUAGCUUCAAGUGACAGAAAACCAACUCAGAGUUGCCUGGGGCCCGCCCCCUGGCCGAGUGGUUAAGUUUGCACGCCCCGCUUCACUGGCCCAGGGUUUUGCUGGUUUGGAUCCUGGGCGCGGACGUAGCAGUGCUCAUCAAGCCAUGCUGAGGCGGCAUCCCAAACAGAACUAAAGAACUUACAACUAGAAUAUACAACUAUGUACUGGGGGACUUAGGGGAGGAGAAGAAGAAGAAGAAGGAAAAAAAGAGGAUUGGCAACAGAUGUUAGCUCAGGGCCAAUCUUAAAAACCAAAAAUCGUUGUGUGCGCACACACAUACUUAAAAUUGCCUGAGCAAAACAGAACUUUUACUGGUUCAAGGAGCUGAAAAGUCCACAGUGAUGCUGGCUUCAGGUACGGCUUGAUUCAGAACUCCAGACGUCAUCUCUGGGCCCUGCUUUUCUCUUUGUCCUCUCACAUGGGCAGGCUCUCCUCAGGAAAGCAAUGGCAGCAGCAGUCCCAAGCAGUGUGUGAGAAGAGGCUGGAAGGAUGAGGGGGCUCAGACCCUCCAGGGCUUUCUUCUUUACUCCUGAGUCAAGUGGCGGUGGGCAGCCAUGAAAGGGAUUUUAAGCUUGAGAAUGACCUAAUUAGAUUUGCAUUCUGAGAGGAUCACACCAGCCCUGGGGCACAGCCAGAAUGGUAAUAAAAAAAAAUUCUUUAUUUAAAAAUCUUUUCCUUUAAAACAAUCACAAUAGAGUUGGCACUGGGCAGAUUCUGGGUUCCUUUCUUGGGAUCUCAUGUCUUCCCACAAGCCCCUGGGAAAAAUGUGUAUCACUUAAGAUUUUAAUCCCAACAACAGUGGCUUAAACAAGAUAAAAGUUUGUAUCUCUCUUGUGUAAGUUGGCCCAGGGCUGGUGUGGCAGCUCCACAAUCAAAAGAAAUCUAAGCUCCUUCUAUUGUCCCACCCCGCCAGCCCCGUUUGUGGCUUCAAUCCUCAGACUCGCCUCAUGGUGCAAGCUGCUGGUGCUCCACCCAUCACACCUACAUCUCAGGUAAAAGGAAAGGGGAGAACAAAGGGGUCCACCUUCUGGUUGGGUCAGCAUUCCCAUUUUCCUAACAUGACAUCUCUUCUUACAUAUCAUUUCCCAGAACAUGGUCACAUGCCAUACCUUAACAUCAAGAGAAUCUGGGAAAUGUGACCUUUAUAUGGGCACAUUAUUACCCAGAAGUGGUGUGUGUGUGUGUGGUUUUUUUUAAAAGGCCGUACAUUCUUUGACACACAGCGAGAGGUGGGGUCUGUCACCGUCCCCCUGCCUCUACCCGCACUCCGCAAAUCGGGGCUGGGGCUCAGAGACCCCUUUGACCAGCAGAACAGGGCAGAGUGAUGCUUUUAUAAAGUUGUUUACCACACCAGGUCAGAAAAGGCCAUGUGGCUUCUUCCAGUUUGGCUCGGAACCAAGACUGGCUUCACGGGCGUGUGACUCACUUAGCUGCACAGGGCCCUGUGCUCAGAGGGUCAUUCACUUGUGUCAACGCUCUGCCGCAGUCCUGAAAUUCUUAGAGAUUUUAUCUUUGACCUUGUUUUGUGAGUAAAGUCUGAUGGGACAAUGGAGCAUGCGCAAUGCAGAGGACAUGGGUGCCCCAGUUCCUUGCCACCCUAUCAGUACACGCGUCUGUGAUGCUGCUGCACGGCGUCCGUGACACGCUUACCUUGUGUGUGGGCCCUGUGCUCAGAAGGGCUCCUCUCUUGUUUUAAUGCUCUGCUGUCACAUCUCGAAAUUCUUAGCAGUUUUAUCUUUGGACUUGUGUGUUGGAAGUGAAUUCCGACGGACAAUGGAGCGUGCACGUGAGCGGAAGAGAUAAACGCAGUCUGGGUGUCCGCCAUCCACACAGCGUGUUCACAGCGUCCCACAAGCAGGGAGCUCUGGUGGCCCCACAGUGCAGGGUCAUUCAGCGAGACUCCGGUGAGCACAAGGUGAGCAUGUGGCGUCUCAGAUCGAGUAAGUAGGGGCGCAUCCCAGAGGCCACGCUUUCUGUUCGAACCAGGAUUUCCUUUGGUCACGGAGACAAAGCCAGUGGUGUUCUAAGAAACACAGACCACCCGGCAACCUUGUCAUAUCCUUUCUUAUCCAUGUCACUUCUCUGUAUCAGCCAACCGCUUACACUGAAAAUGAUGAGACACGGGACACAGCACUGUUCCCCUUCCUGUCCUUACUCAUCGGUAAGUAGGAAGCCGGGAGUCUUGGCAGAAGGCGUGACUACCAAGAAGUGAGAUAAAAACAGUCGUGUCAGUUUGGGGCAGCAGGUCCGCUGUCCUGGCGAGGAUGAAAUGCACGAGGAUGAGCUGUGAAAUCCCGGUGGGGUCAUUUCAGCGAUUCCACAUAUGAGUUAAUGCUCUUCCACUGGCAUUUAAAACUGACAUUGCACAAUAGGACGAUGAAUAGUAAAAUUCAUGCUAAUCAUUUAACAUCUUCGUUUUUCUUUACUUAGAAUAACAUUUAGUAGUAAAUUAAAAACACCAUGACAAGACGAGACAGGGAUUAAAAGAAAGGAGAGACUUUUUAUUCCAUAUCUACACUGGCACUUUUUCCCUACUUUCUGGACAAGGGGCACCGUAUUGUGUUGCUGGCCCGGCUUGGAAGCUUGCUGUCAGGACGCUUCGUCUCAGAACCCAGUCGCCAUGUGGUGAGGACCCAACCCCCAGGGAAAGGGCGUGUGUGGGUGCCCCGGUCUACAGCCCUACCCAAGCCCAGCCUUUGAGUCACCCCAGCCGAGUGACAGAAAUAAACCUCCAGAGGAUUCCAUUCCCGCCUCUGCCGGCCUUCCCCACACCGCGCCCAAACUUCCAGACGCCUGCGUCGAGCCCAGCCCUCGUGGAGCAGAGAUAAGCCAUCCCCACUCGGCCCCGUUUGAAUUCCUGACCUCCAGAAUCGUGCGACUGGGCGAGUGCAAUGAGCAGAAAUAAACGGGCCGCAGUUUAUUCAUUUGGGUUGGUUCCAAUCUUUUGUGAACACAAAUGGAGCUGCAAUGACUAACUCUGUGUGUAUAAUCUGUACGUUCAGAGCAGAUUCCUGCAAAUGAGGAUUACCGUGUCAAAGGGGAAACGCGUACGUAAUUUUGUUAGCUGUUGCCGACAUCCUCUCUAAACUCUUCUUUUUCCCCAUGUAGCUUUCUUUGUGUUUACGGCAUAUUCGUUCACGUCUAACGCCCGCCCCCCGCAACAUACCUGUGUGCAAACAGAGAAACACACACGGAGAAAAAUGCGCAAAUAAACGGAC
rnacentral:lncRNA from 1 species